GGUUAGUUGUUGGUUGGUGUCAGUGGGUUUUGUUUUUUAUUUUUUGUUUGUUUUGGCUUCUAAAGAAAUAUGUUUUGAUUUAACAAAAAGAGAACAUUAUCUAAGCUUCUUUGUGUUGCUUGAUUAAAUAAUAAGUCUGAUAAUUGUAAGUCUUUCAUUUGGCUCGUUGAUCUGCUUUUCCAGUCAAUUUCAAAUGGUGCCUUAUCUUUAUUUCCAGUUUCCCCAAAUGGAAUAAGGAAAACAUCUCCAUAUAUAUAUAUAUAUAAUAUAUAUUCAGUUUUUUAAAAGAAUAUUGAUUGGAUUGGCUUAGAUUCUACCUUUUUAAAAGUAGACUUAAGUAUUCAUGUCUGUAAGACAUACCAAAAUAUUUACAGAUUUUUUCAAAAAAAAUCUUGCAGACACAGAUGCACACAAUUAGAUUAUUAAGAUCUUAGUAAGACACAGAGACACAAACCAAACUCUUAACAAAACUGUAGUCACUUGGCCUAUAUGUAGUUACCACAUCCUCCAAUAAUGGAGAUGGAUCCGGAAAAAAAAAAAAAAGUGUUGUUCGGUGACUUUGUCCUUGUGCAAGCAUCAAAAUGUACGUAAACUAAGGUAGCAAAGUGUGCUUAGAUUAUAUAAUUUUAUUGGGACACAGUCCUGCAAGUGUUCUGUGAUUGGCUGAAGUUUCACAUGCUGCAUGACUGUUCUCUCUACACUAUGAUUGGUCCCCAGAAAGCAGAAAGGUUGUCACAAGCAGCAAUAUUUAAAACUGUAUGAUGGGAAGAGGAUGCAGUGCAUUGGUGAAAUAGCUGCUUAGAAUGUGCAAGGGCCUGAGUCCAGUUGCUUCCAUCUUAAACAAGCAAGCAAGCAAGCAAGCAAUGAGUUAGUCUGGGUAGUGCUCACGGUAGUGCUCACGGUAGUGCUCACGGUAGUGCUCGCCGAUAUUCUCAACUGCUUGAGAAGCUGUGGCAGCAGAAUCACAAGCUCAAGUCCUGCCUGGGCUACAAAAUUCAUUCCACCUUGGAUAACCUGAAAAUACCUUUCCUCUAAGUGGGGCUGGAAAUGGGAGGAAGACAGGAAGAGCACCUGCCUAGUGUGGUGAAGGCCCUAGUACCACAAAAAAAUGAAAACCAUAUUAAAGAUACCCAAUAAUAAUAGGCAAGCCAAUUUUCAACAGAACCAAAUUCUAAAAUGAUUCAAAAAAUAUAUAAAAUGGUUUAUCAGCAUACAGAAAGCCUCAGACUCAGUAGCCACCAGGAAAGUGCAAACCAGUCAUUGAAACUUCACACAAACUAGUGUAGUUGUAAUAAUAAUAAUUUUAAAAAGAUAAAAUAUUGGAGAAAUCAGAACACUGAUAGAGUACUAAUGGGAUAAAUAUGGUAGUAAACAGUCAAGGGGCUUAAAAAGGCUAAAUACUGAGGGAUGUGUGGCUUCAAUGUGGAACCCUUGUCUAUUGUAUGUGAGCCCCUGGGCUCCAUCCCUAGCACUAGGGAUAAAGACAUGUAGGUAGAGAACAUGCUUGUUUGCUAGCCCAACUAUCCCAUUGCUUUCCAAAGUGAAAACAGGUCUAUAUAAAAAUGGGCCUCCACAUUUGGUCAUGGUGGCGCACACUUAUGACCCCAGGGCUCAGGAGAUUGAGGCAGACACCUGCUGUGAUUUCAAGCCCAGAAUGGGUAAUAGUGUGUCUCAAAGAAGAUACAAAACCAUCUUGCCCCAAAGUAUAAGCAGUAUUAUUCACAGUAAGCCAAAACCAAGUACAGCUCAAAUGUUUACUGAUUGCUGAAUGAGUAAAUAAAAUGCGGUAUAUCACAUAUGGUGAAAUAUUAUUCAGCAACUUCUACCAUGGAUUUGAAUUGCAUACAGUGUUUUCUAAUUCACAAAUGCUAUUACUCUUUGCAUCCCAUAUAAGGUCCCAUAAAUGAUAUACUAUAUAUCACAUUCUGAAACUGUUUCUACUGUUACCUUUUUAGUCAUACUGAUGUCUACAAAUGUUACUAAUGACAGAAUAUUUAUAUGCUACAACUCACUCAUUUCCCAUUAAAUUGAUUGUUUCUCCUUUUGUGUUUUAUUUUUUGAGACUAUGUAGCUUUGAUCUGCCUCUUUUUCCUCCAUGAUCCUCCUGCCUCAGCCUCCCAGCCAUUGUAACAGUUUUCUUUAUAGCAGUGCAGUGAUGUUUCCCCAGACCCUCCAUGCAGAUCUAAAGGCGCUUCUUUGACAAAAGUGAACGGAGUGAAUUCAGGUGAUGUUUAAACUCUGGAUGCCAGUUUCCUCAGUAGCAAGAUGAGGAGUACAUCAUAAAUGGUAUACAACAUAUAUGAAGCACUUCAUGUAUUCCUUAUAAGCCUUAAGUUAGAUUUUGAGUCUCCUGUUGCCUUCAAGACUGGAAUCCUGCAGGAAAGAAUCCAGAGUCUGCUGCUGUGGUACGGACAGACACCUGUGGUAUUGCAGAGAGCAGGGCUCCUGAUGCUAGGAUGCCCUGAAAUUUGACUGUAGUUGGGCUCUCUGCAUCCUCCAUUCCUUUGUCCUGUUUCUUUUCUAAUUCAGAUUUCCAUUAGUGAGCAAACUAUCUAUUCUUCCAAAAACAUUUCUUUUCUAUUUGUUUCAAACAAGGUUUGUCUAGAACCUAAAUCAGUUUGUGAGCCAAGACUCUGAUGCCCUUUGAAACCAUAGAGGAAAGCUCUUUAUUGGCUUGUCAGCCUGCUUUCUUAUAUACCUCGGGAACCCCUUUCCAGGUGUGGCAUCACUCACAGGGAUGAUCCUACAUCAAUUGUCAAUGAAGAAAAUGCCCUGCAGGCAUGCUUACAGGUCAACUGGAUGGGGGGCUUUGCAGGAAAUCAUAGAAUUGGCCUGGUCUUGAAUCCUUGAGAGGCACCUGUCAUACAUUCUUCAGAUUAGAGUUCUUGGCUCCUGGAGCACCGUAUGCCUUUCAGUUCCUGAGAAACUGAGGCAUUCCCUCGGGCAGUGGAGCAUUCAGGCCACCUGUGUAUCUCUGUGUUCCCUAGAAGUCAGCAAAGCAUGUAGAAGCUUGGUUGGGCAAUUAGUCUUAGACCUUAAUCUUGUGUACCCUGUAGAACUUGCAAAUGUGAUUGUAUCCUGACAAUUAUAACUGUAUUCUUCCUAGCAACCACUAUGGUAUUCUGUUUCUGACAUGGGUAUAAAAUUUCUAAUUGUUUUCAAUAAACUUGUCUCAUCCUGUGUCAGUG
rnacentral:lncRNA from 1 species